rnacentral:rRNA from 1 species
CCUACGGGAGGCAGCAGUAGGGAAUAUUGCUCAAUGGGGGAAACUCUGAAGCAGCAAAGCCGCGUGGAGGAUGAAGGUUUUCGGAUUGUUAACUCCUUUUGUUAGAGGAGUUAAUGACGGUAUCUAACGAAUAAGCAACGGCUAACUCCGUGCAAGCAGCCGCGGCAAUACGGAGGGUGCAAGCGUUACUCGGAAUCACUGGGCGUAAAGAGCGCGUAGGCGGGAUAGCAAGUCAGAUGUGAAAUCCUAUGGCUUAACCAUAGAACUGCAUUUGAAACUGUUAUUCUAGAGUAUAGGAGAGGUAGGUGGAAUUCUUGGUGUAGGGGUAAAAUCCUUAGAGAUCAAGAAGAAUACUCAUUGCGAAGGCGACCUGCUAGAACAUAACUGACGCUGAUGCGCGAAAGCGUGGGUAGCAAACAGGAUUAGAUACCCCAGUAGUC